UUUCCUACGGGGGGCAGCAGUGGGGGAUAUUGGACAAUGGGGGGAACCCUGAUCCAGCGACGCCGCGUGAGUGAAGAAGUAUUUCGGUAUGUAAAGCUCUAUCAGCAGGGAAGAAAAUGACGGUACCUGACUAAGAAGCCCCGGCUAACUACGUGCCAGCAGCCGCGGUAAUACGUAGGGGGCAAGCGUUAUCCGGAUUUACUGGGUGUAAAGGGAGCGUAGACGGAAUUGCAAGUCUGAUGUGAAAAUCCGGGGCCCAACCCCGGAAGUGCAUUGGAAACUGUAUUUCUAGAGUGUCGGAGAGG
rnacentral:rRNA from 1 species